rnacentral:rRNA from 1 species
AGUGAACGCUGGCGGUAGGCCUAACACAUGCAAGUCGAACGGCAGCACAGGAGAGCUUGCUCUCUGGGUGGCGAGUGGCGGACGGGUGAGGAAUACAUCGGAAUCUACUCUGUCGUGGGGGAUAACGUAGGGAAACUUACGCUAAUACCGCAUACGACCUACGGGUGAAAGCAGGGGAUCUUCGGACCUUGCGCGAUGGCAUGAGCCGCUGUCGGGUUAGCUAGUUGGCGGGGUAAAGGCCAACCAAGGCGACGAUCCGUAGCUGGGCUGAGAGGAUGAUCAGCCACACUGGAACUGAGACACGGUCCAGACUCCUACGGGAGGCAGCAGUGGGGAAUAUGGGACAAUGGGCGCAAGCCUGAUCCAGCCAUACCGCGUGGGUGAAGGAGGCCUUCGGGUUGUAAAGCCCUUUUGUUGGGAAAGAAAUCCAGCUGGCUAAUACCCGGUUGGGAUGACGGUACCCAAAGAAUAUGCACCGGCUAACUUCGUGCCAGCCGCCGCAGUAA